CCCCUCUAUUUUUUCCUUGCAACGUAUACCUUACCUUCCCCCUCUCUUAAGCAUAAACUUCCACUCCUCCAUCUUCUUCUUGCAAUAAAUCUAUUAAUUUACAAACUUCUAUUAAUUAAUUAACAUAUAUAAUUUAUUCCCCUCGGCUUCACUCCCAUCCCUCCAUCUUCUCCUUGCAAUACGACCGGAGGGCGAUGAGAGAUGCGGGGUCGGGGAGGCGGGGCGGCAUCGAGGCUGAGGACGGUGCUAUUGCCGACAAUGACUAUGGCGACAGUGACCGCGUCCUCAGUGGUGGCGGUACCCGUGGCGAAAAAAGUAUGAACCACCUCACCAAGAAAGCAACGAGUCAGGUGCUGGACCAACUUCCUAUAGUCGCUCGCCACUUGCCGAAAGUUUUGGGCCCUCGAAAAGGACGAAACCAUCCAAUUGGUGAGCUCAAUGAUCCCCUACCCUCAAAUUAUUGAGAGUUGUAUGAGGAAGGUGUUAUCUUAUUUGAGUUUCUCUCCUAAAAAUGAAGUGUAGCAAAUUUUUAUGAGGGGAACACCACCUCUAAAUAUUUUGGUACCAACUUUGUGGUGAAAUAAGAAGAGGAGGAAGAGUGGAUCCCAUCAUAUUGUUGGAGCUUUCACAAAGUGGGAGGCAUCAUCAUCUAUGCCAAACUUCUUAGAGAGAGAGGGGAAACAAUCUUAGCUUUUGGUCUUAGCUAUCUUUUUUUUUCCUUUCCUUUGGUCUCUUGUAAUGAUUGUGGCAAGUGAUGUAAGGUUUUAGGACUAGGCAUACAUCAAUCCUAGUCACACAUUAAGACCAAACAAUAUUGAGACUAUGCAUCCAAUGUUGGGAAUUGUAGAGAGGUACACAUUUACAUUUACGGCCUUAUUUGGAUGUCGUAAUAAAUUAUCCAGUGAUGACUU